GACGAACGCUGGCGGCGUGCCUAAUACAUGCAAGUCGAGCGGACGGAUGGGAGCUUGUUCCCAGACCGUCAGCGGCGUACCGGUGAGUAACACGUGGGCAACCUGCCUGUAAGACUGGGAUAACUCCGGUAAACCGGGUUUAAUACCGGAUAACUCUUUCCCUCACAUAAGGGCAAGCUGAAAGAUGGCAUUUCGCUAUCACUUACAGAUGUGCCCGCGUCGCAUUAGCGAGUGGGAGAGGUAACGGCUGACCAAGGCGACGAUGCGGAGCCGACCUGAGAGGGUGAUCAGCCACACUGGAACUGAGACACGGCCCAGACUCCUACGGGAGGCAGCAGUAGGGAAUCUUCCGCAAUGGACGAAAGUCUGACGGAGCAACGCCGCGUGAGUGAUGAAGGUUUUCGGAUCGUAAAACUCUGUUGUCAGGGAAGAACAAGUACCGGAGUAACUGCCGGUACCUUGACGGUACCUGACCAGAAAGCCCCGGCUAACUACGUG
rnacentral:rRNA from 1 species